UCCCGAUAAAAUUUUUAUAUAAAAUGUUAUCACAGGUCAUUUGAUAUUUUCAGUUUUUUAUUAUUUGCGUGUUACGUAAGUAUUACAAAAAACCGUAUUUUUUAAAUCGAAAUUAUAACAAAUUUAUUCAUAUACCUGAAAUUUUAAUACGAAUUUAAUUAAUAUACACGUCAGCCUAAAAGUCAGAAUUAAUCUGCAGAAAUGGCAAUCAUUUUACCAGUAUUGUUUACAUAUGCUAUGGUUGGAAAUACUUUUGAUUACAAAAAUUAUG